ACGGGUGAGUAAUGUCUGGGGAUCUGCCCGAUAGAGGGGGAUAACCACUGGAAACGGUGGCUAAUACCGCAUAACGUCGCAAGACCAAAGAGGGGGACCUUCGGGCCUCUCACUAUCGGAUGAACCCAGAUGGGAUUAGCUAGUAGGCGGGGUAAUGGCCCACCUAGGCGACGAUCCCUAGCUGGUCUGCGAGGAUGACCAGCCACACUGGAACUGAGACACGGUCCAGACUCCUACGGGAGGCAGCAGUGGGGAAUAUUGCACAAUGGGCGCAAGCCUGAUGCAGCCAUGCCGCGUGUAUGAAGAAGGCCUUCGGGUUGUAAAGUACUUUCAGCGGGGAGGAAGGCGAUGCGGUUAAUAACCGCGUCGAUUGACGUUACCCGCAGAAGAAGCACCGGCUAACUCCGUGCCAGCAGCCGCGGUAAUACGGAGGGUGCAAGCGUUAAUCGGAAUUACUGGGCGUAAAGCGCACGCAGGCGGUCUGUUAAGUCAGAUGUGAAAUCCCCGGGCUUAACCUGGGAACUGCAUUUGAAACUGGCAGGCUUGAGUCUUGUAGAGGGGGGUAGAAUUCCAGGU
rnacentral:rRNA from 1 species